GAACCAAACAAACUCUUGCGUCAACAGCCAUUGGAAUGAAGCAGACAGCCUCAACUCCCUAAACCGACUUCAAUUUUCCCUAGCAGCAGCGAAACAAGGAUGAAAUAUAUCAAAAGCUUUGAAACAGAUUGAUUUCCAGUUUAUAUAUCAAAGUUUUUGGAAGAAUUUUCAGAUUGGAGUGGACGAUAACAGAGCAGAUUUAGAAAUGUAAAAUCGAAGCUACCUCUGUUCUUUGGAUGGAAGCAAGGUGCAGUUGAAUCCAUCGCGCACGAGCUUGUUAAUGGCGUCUCGGAGCCUAUAGUAAUCCUCCGCCACGUUGUACACCUGAUGUGAGAUCCUGGCGUAGCCGGUGACGGCUGCGGCGCCGAUCUUGUCCUCGCCGUCUUCGUCCGGCGACUGCUUGUUGUAGUAAAUGGGCACCUCGACCUUGAACUCC